UACGUAGGGACCAAGCGUUGUUCGGAUUUACUGGGCGUAAAGAGCUCGUAGGCGGUUUGUUGCGUCGGCCGUGAAAGUCCGGGGCUCAACUCCGGAUCUGCGGUGGGUACGGGCAGACUAGAGUGAUGUAGGGGAGACUGGAAUUCCUGGUGUAGCGGUGAAAUGCGCAGAUAUCAGGGGGAACACCGAUGGCGAAGGCAGGUCUCUGGGCAUUAACUGACGCUGAGGAGCGAAAGCAUGGGGAGCGAACAGG
rnacentral:rRNA from 1 species